rnacentral:tRNA from 1 species
CGGGCAGUAGCUCAGUGGUAAAGCUCCCGCUUCAUACGUGGGAAGAUCUGGGUUCCACCUCCGGUUGCUUCC